GUGACUGCGUACCUUUUGUAUAAUGGGUCAGCGACUUAUAUUCUGUAGCAAGGUUAACCGAAUAGGGGAGCCGAAGGGAAACCGAGUCUUAACUGGGCGUUAAGUUGCAGGGUAUAGACCCGAAACCCGGUGAUCUAGCCAUGGGCAGGUUGAAGGUUGGGUAACACUAACUGGAGGACCGAACCGACUAAUGUUGAAAAAUUAGCGGAUGACUUGUGGCUGGGGGUGAAAGGCCAAUCAAACCGGGAGAUAGCUGGUUCUCCCCGAAAGCUAUUUAGGUAGCGCCUCGUGAACUCAUCUCCGGGGGUAGAGCACUGUUUCGGCAAGGGGGUCAUCCCGACUUACCAACCCGAUGCAAACUGCGAAUACCGGAGAAUGUUAUCACGGGAGACACACGGCGGGUGCUAACGUCCGUCGUGAAGAGGGAAACAACCCAGACCGCCAGCUAAGGUCCCAAAGUCAUGGUUAAGUGGGAAACGAUGUGGGAAGGCCCAGACAGCCAGGAUGUUGGCUUAGAAGCAGCCAUCAUUUAAAGAAAGCGUAAUAGCUCACUGGUCGAGUCGGCCUGCGCGGAAGAUGUAACGGGGCUAAACCAUGCACCGAAGCUGCGGCAGCGACGCUUAUGCGUUGUUGGGUAGGGGAGCGUUCUGUAAGCCUGUGAAGGUGUGCUGUGAGGCAUGCUGGAGGUAUCAGAAGUGCGAAUGCUGACAUAAGUAACGAUAAAGCGGGUGAAAAGCCCGCUCGCCGGAAGACCAAGGGUUCCUGUCCAACGUUAAUCGGGGCAGGGUGAGUCGACCCCUAAGGCGAGGCCGAAAGGCGUAGUCGAUGGGAAACAGGUUAAUAUUCCUGUACUUGGUGUUACUGCGAAGGGGGGACGGAGAAGGCUAUGUUGGCCGGGCGACGGUUGUCCCGGUUUAAGCGUGUAGGCUGGUUUUCCAGGCAAAUCCGGAAAAUCAAGGCUGAGGCGUGAUGACGAGGCACUACGGUGCUGAAGCAACAAAUGCCCUGCUUCCAGGAAAAGCCUCUAAGCAUCAGGUAACAUCAAAUCGUACCCCAAACCGACACAGGUGGUCAGGUAGAGAAUACCAAGGCGCUUGAGAGAACUCGGGUGAAGGAACUAGGCAAAAUGGUGCCGUAACUUCGGGAGAAGGCACGCUGAUAUGUAGGUGAAGCGACUUGCUCGUGGAGCUGAAAUCAGUCGAAGAUACCAGCUGGCUGCAACUGUUUAUUAAAAACACAGCACUGUGCAAACACGAAAGUGGACGUAUACGGUGUGACGCCUGCCCGGUGCCGGAAGGUUAAUUGAUGGGGUUAGCGCAAGCGAAGCUCUUGAUCGAAGCCCCGGUAAACGGCGGCCGUAACUAUAACGGUCCUAAGGUAGCGAAAUUCCUUGUCGGGUAAGUUCCGACCUGCACGAAUGGCGUAAUGAUGGCCAGGCUGUCUCCACCCGAGACUCAGUGAAAUUGAACUCGCUGUGAAGAUGCAGUGUACCCGCGGCAAGACGGAAAGACCCCGUGAACCUUUACUAUAGCUUGACACUGAACAUUGAGCCUUGAUGUGUAGGAUAGGUGGGAGGCUU
rnacentral:rRNA from 1 species